AUUGCUAUAGUAUAAAAAGUAUAAUUGUUUUAAGAUAAAUUGGUUGUUUUAGUAAUU
rnacentral:tRNA from 1 species